rnacentral:rRNA from 1 species
ACGGGUGAGUAACGCGUAAGAACUUGCCCUUUAGACUGGGAUAACAGAGGGAAACUUCUGAUAAUACUGGAUAAGUUAGUAUAUCGCAUGAUAUGCAAAUGAAAGCUACGGCACUAAAGGAGAGCUUUGCGUCCUAUUAGCUAGUUGGUAAGGUAAGAGCUUACCAAGGCGAUGAUAGGUAGCCGGCCUGAGAGGGUGGACGGCCACAAGGGGACUGAGAUACGGCCCUUACUCCUACGGGAGGCAGCAGUC